UGACGAUGUUGACGAUCAGAUAAUGGGUCAAGCCGCAUUAGAAGUUGAAGCCAUGGAUAACACAUCCCAAGCUGAAGCCGUGGAUAACACAUCACAUCCCAGAAACGGAGCGGAUGUUGGUGGUGGUGAGGUGGGGGAUGUUCCAGAAACUCCCAAGUCUACCGGUGAACAUAUCACGGGCGAGUCAUUGGGCAACAACAACCGCGGCGCGUUGGGAGGUGUCGGUAAAAUGGGGCGGUGUGUGCUGAGGGAAGGAUGUGAUACCUCCAUUACCAGUGUCUCAUCUGAAGAACGACCCACCGGACAGCGUAACGCAUAUCCACGGCAACAACAACAGACACGCUUCGGUGAUGGUGUGUCUUGACUCUCCGUCGGGCGCUGAAUCGCGAGAGCGGCGGCGAAGUCGUCUGCAGCAAAAAGAUCAUGAAAUGCGUCAAUCACGACUGGAAAAAAAAAUGCAGCAUAUGGCGGAAGUGUUGCGGCCGCGCCCACUUCUGACUUGACAUACCCCGCUUGACCUUUCUUGGAAGUGUCAUAGGCGGGGUGGGUGGUGGGGAAGUUACUA